rnacentral:rRNA from 1 species
CUUAGCAACCGAUUUGGUCCUAGUCCUUUUCUUGGCUCUCUCUAAAACGAUACAUGCAAGCCCCUCAGCAAAACAGUGAGUAAUAACUUAAUUGUCCUAAAAAGAGACAACCCAAUAACCCCAGGUAUCAGAUAAUACAACUUAAUUCUAAAACACCUAGUUAUUCCACACCUGCAGUACCUAACAUUAUACAAUAAGUUAAAGCUUGAUAUAGUUAUAUAUUUAAGAGUUGGUUAAUUAUGUGCCAGCCACCGCGGUUAUACAUAAAACUCAAACCAAGAAACAUCGGUUUAAAAGUGACUUAGGGUAACCUAAACUUUAAGGGAGAAAAUAACUCUAGUAUUAACAAACUUUCACAGUAAACUAAUAACAAUUAUAAAUAUUUCCUUAAAACUUUCCCACACCCAAAACACUAAAGCUCAAAAAUAAACUGGGAUUAGAUACCCCACUAUAUGAGCCGUAAAAAACCAAAAAUACCAGAGA